rnacentral:misc_RNA from 1 species
CCCAACUAUCCCUAUUAAUCAUUACGUCAAUCCUAGAAACCAACAAAAUAGGUUUGAACGUCCUAUUUCAUUAUUCCAUGCUAAUGUAUUCAAGCGUUAGCCUGCUUUAAACACUCUAAUUUUUUCAAAGUAACAGUCCUAGCUCCCUAUUACACCUAGUGAAAGGCAUAGUAGUUCACUAGAAGGUGGAGAUUGACAUUACCAGUACAUAUCCGAAGACACGACCGGUACGCCAAUCCCGAAAUUCAACUACGAGCUUUUUAACUGCAACAACUUUAAUAUACGCUAUUGGAGCUGGAAUUACCGCGGCUGCUGGCACCAGACUUGCCCUCCAA